CAGGACUCUGCCAAUAGUCACAGCUUCUCUGUUUCCCAUCGAGUGAGGUUUGCAGAUAGCCCUGCUGGGGACUGCAGGCUCAUAUGGAAGGCAUCGUGGUGUGUUUUAAGUGUAACAGGAUAUCCAAUGGGACUUUUUAUGGUGCCUUGAAAUUUCAUCUGGAGUCCCAAAGCUGAGAAGAAAGGUGAUAAGUAUCCCCAGGUUUUGGAGUGGGGAACCAGCAAUGCAUAUAUCUAUGCAGAAACUGUGGAAACUGGUAUAGUGAUUAUUAAUUUUAUCUGAUGCAGGAGAAAGGGGAUCGGAGGGAGUCUUUAGGGUAGUGGACAGUGUUGUGCUGUUUCCUUUUUCUCUUCCUGUGGGGAAGCCCUCAAGGGAAGUAGGGGCUCCAGUGUCGUCCUGGGAUUGGAGUAGAGCAGAGUGGAAAAGUUCAUGAAGUGGACGUAUGUCUUACAGAGUUCAGGGCCAAAAAUGAGUGGAAGGUGGGUCUCACUUACUCCUUGGGGAGUCUAGGAUACUAGAGGUUGGUUAGAACUGUAAAUGAGUGGAGAGAACUGUAGCCGGAGCCAUCUGGACUGCUAGAAUUUGCAAUGGUGAGGAUGUGUGUUUCCCAGGAGUGACAACGGAAGAUAGACAGCCUUGAACCAGGAGCACUGACGGUGUUUUUUGACUGGAGGGCACUGACAAUGGAAACAGAGUGGAACAAUAUGUAUUUGGCAAAUGCUGCUUGUUCCAGAGGAGGGAAGAGAGAGACAUUUAUUGGACCCGUUGUAGAUUCCAAAAGGCUGAAUUUCUGGUUUUCCUGAAGCCCUUUGGAAAUGUAACGUAGGAACUUCUGCCUUUGGAGGAAUGGAAGACUCGUGAGGAAAACUUGUCCUUCUUCUGUCCCUACUGCGCUGAGAGGAAAGUCAGGACUAUACCAAGCACACGCACAGACUCAGAGCAAACCUCUGGACUCCUUGAAAAAAACAACUGCCAAGAACCUGGGAAGCCCAGCCUUUGUGCACAGCCCCCCCGACGCCUGUGCCUACUCUCCCGCCCCCAGGAACACACUCGGACAAAGAAGCACCUGCGCCCAGGCCAGACAUCUUUAUUUCCUUUUGCCUUUGAUUAAGCCUCACAAUAAAACGGCACACCAAGGGGCACGACAUUACUGUGUCAUUAAAGUGAGCAUGUCACAAGUGAGUGUUGCUGAACCGAGAUGCUUCGGAGGUUUUUAUUUGCACUGAAUCUUUGAGGCCAGCAGAUGGAAAAAAAUGACUGUGGCCAGAGCUCAUGGAGGUAGGCUUCGUCUGAGAGGCAGCCUGCACAGGCUGUCCUGACCUCUGACCUGCUUUCCCUAGAAAAGGUACGUGAGUUAAAGUGUUAGAUGCAUAAUCAUAAACAUAAACAUAAACAGGACCCACAGAAUGAAGCGCACACACACAUGCACACACACACGCACACAAACUUAUGCAUGCACACAGGUAUUUCUACUUGAGUGCUUUUUAAAGUCAAAAUUGGUGUGUGAACCGCAGUUUGUUCUAAGGGACUCUUUGAAUGUGUAUCAUUUAGCGAAUCUGGAGCAGACCAAGUGUUUUUGCUGAAAAUGGCCAUUGCUCAUAGCAGAGACACCAUCCUCCUGUUAAUGUCAUUAGCAAGCAGAACGGCAGUGCCUACAAAGCUCAGAGCAGAGAAAUGAUACCCGGGGGAACCACACAGUGCCAAAUAAAUGUGAGGUGAUUGACUAUUUUCAUCAGUACCUCCGCAGCGGGGUUGGAGCCCAUUUAUAAGGGGCUGCCUUGGGCCCACGGGGAAGGGGACAAUCAGACGAUCCUGUUGCAGUUCCUAUUGUCCUCAAAGACAUCUCUUCUCCAGGAACAAAGCCCGGGGUCACACAGUUUGUCCUGAAGAAACUCCUGAUAAAUUUUGCUUUUUUUAAAAAAAGCCUCUUUUCUUUGAUUAGAAGUAAUAAAGGCUUUUCCUUCUAAAUA